rnacentral:lncRNA from 13 species
AUUGGUUAAUGUUCUCUAGAGGAGAGAGAUUUUCUUUCAUUUGUUUUAUAAUGAACCUUAGUCAACCGUUGACUAAUGUUGGAUAUAAAGUUACAUGGUUGCAGUGUGUUAAACAUUAUCUGCUGUGUGUACAGAAUCUGCUGUACAAAAUACACUUCUUUUGGCAUUUGAGAGGGCCUGACAAAUGGCACUCCUCAUUCAUAAUCAAGUUCUGAGCCAAAUGGUAAACAAGACAAAAGAAUAAGACAGUCAGAAAACUAAAUCACCUUUUUUUUUAACGGAUAAAGUGAAAAAGGAGAAUGAUUAUGAAGAAUAAGGGAUAUACAGGUAGGCAUUGGGUUUCCUGAUGCUAAACUCCAGAAUUCGGCAAAGCAGCCGACUUAGUCACAGGCAGGACAGGAUGACCGCAGAUGCAGCUGCCCUGAAAGCCACAUCAUGGAAAAGCACUGAAGAAUGUGUGGACCUGCAGGAGAGGAGGGGAGUGUCUCAGUCCAUUCGGGCUGUGAAUGCAACAUUCCAAAAACUAGGUGGCUCGUAAACAACAGAAAUUUGUUUCUCAUAGUUCUGGAAGCUGGAACGUCCAAGAUCAAGACAGAUUCUGUAUCUGAGAUGUCCCGCUUGGAGAGGAGGAAUCUAAAGAGGCAGUCUGGCUACAGUGACUCUGCAAAGCUGCAGUGGCUCCAUCCACUUUGAACUUCCCAGUGGCUGUGUUUACACUGUGAGGGGAAAACCUCAUACUCAAGCCUCAGUAAUGGCGGAUGCCCCUCUCCCCACCAAGCUCAAGCAUCCCAGGUCGGCUAUGCUGGCGGUGAGAAUUUUAAGCCAGUGAAUCUUAGUUUGCUGGGCUCCAUGGGGGUGGGGUCCUCUGAGCUAGACCACUUGGCUCCCUGACUUCAGCCCCCUUUUCAGGGGAGUGAAGGGUUCUGUCUUGCCGGCAUUCCAGGUGCCACUGAGGUAUGAAAAAAAAACUCCUGCAGGUAGCUCAGUGUCUGUCCAAACAGCUGCCCAGUUUUUUGUUUGAAACCCAGGGCCCUGGUGGUGUAGGCACCUGAGGGAAUCUCCUGGUCUGCGGGUGCAAAGACUGAGAAAAACAUAGUAUCUGGGCUGGAAUGCACCAUUCCUCAUGACAUUGAAGGUUUUUUUGUGUCUACCUCCUCACAGCUUCCCUUGGCUAGGGGAGGAAGUUCCCCUACCCUUUUCACUCACCCUCCAUGGGCUGCACCCACUGUCUAACCAGUCCCAAUGAGAAGCACUGGAUAUCCUAGUUGGAAAUCCAGAAAUCACUCAACUUCUGCAUUGAUCUCGCUGGGAGCUGCAAACUGGGGCUCUUCCUAUUUGGCAUCUUGUCAGCCACCCCACCAUGGUAAACAUUUUAAAUGCAUGAUUUCAUUUAAUUCAUAAAACAACCAGAAGAGAGGUAGGUAUUGUCCCCAUUUCAUUGAGCAAGAUCCUGAAGCUAUAGAGAUUAUCUAACCUGCUCAAGGUGACACAGCUGUAGAUAGUAUAUCUGGGACUCCAAAUAUUUGCUUCUAACACGACACCAUUCUCUUAUCCAAACACCAAAUGUCUUUGCUCUUACUGAGUUCACUGGGAACGGGGUCCACUUUAAUCUCUUUACAUCCUAGUUUACUUUGGCCAUCACUGUCACGUCUAAAUUGUUGUCUAUAGGGCACAUCUUCAAGUUUCCCCACCUCUCCUUCCUCUGGUUGGUCUUUUGCCUAAACCACUAAAGGAAAUUAAACAAAGUCAUGUAGGACAGGACAAAACCAGGUUUCAUUUAUUCCUUUAAGACAUAGGCCUUUCAAUGCAAUGGGUGCCUUCACAGAUUUUAGGCCAAAAAUUUUAAGCCCCUGUGAUUCUUUCUAAAAUCUAUGUUUCUGUUUAAUUUUGACUGUGCUCAUUGUCUUGGUAGGAACUGAUUUCCACGGCUCUCCUUGCCCUGACAUCAGAGGGCCUGUUUUGAGGUCCAGGGUAUUCCUGAAACCCUUUGGGUACAUCCAGUUCUGACUCAUAAAACACAAUGAGGAAUUUACAACUCUGAUUUCUGCCAUAGGCAUAAAAUUAGCCUAACUCCACAGCGCUGUUUUUCCUAAUUACUUCAUUAUUAAACUACUCAUGUCACAGCAGGAGGGGAUGUUGAUGUUAUUUUACUUCAGACUUUAGUGUGAGGGUGUGUUGGGUGUCUACCCUCUGUCCCCGUCCCCUGCACAGGGCCCUGAAAGAUGGUUCCCCUUGGACCACCUCAAUAGACACCUUGCCCUCUGGUUGAAUUUGGUCAAUGGGCAGGAGGAGGGUUGAGACUAGAGUACCAUUUCCCUAGCUUCCUCUCUGCUGGGUUACUGUGGGUGUCUGUGUCUUUCUGGGAAGCCACGGCUCCUAUCAUGCGCAGCUCUCUCUCCAAUUCCCAUAACUUUUCUCUUUAAGUCUACAGGUGAUGGCUCCCUGCUGGGGCUAGCCGUGGAGUACUCCACUGUCUCUCGUGUGUUUUCCUCCACCCUGCUUCCAUCUUUGUAAAUAGUCCCUUUAUUCAAUACCCGAAAUUUAAUACCUAUUUUGCAUAUAACGUCUCCUGUCUCCUGCAGUCUGACUAAUACAGAUGAGAUGAGCAUUCGUGUGACUUGAGGUUUUCCUUGCGGGCAUGGCAGCGAAGAUGAUUGCCUGCUUCAUCAGGUGACAUUGUUAAAGGUUAAAUCCUACCUGUGCUCUGCGCUGCCUGUGCUUUCAUCACAACCAGUUUCCUCCUCAUCUAGGAAGAAAACACUUGCAAAUAAGUGCAUCAGGUGGUUACACAGAAGAAGCGAUGCACAGCUGGCUUCAGAGUGAGGUUGAUCUGGAGGUCACAUUGCCCACAGAAACCAUCUGAGCCCACACUUGGUACAACCCUGUUAAAAAAAAAAAAGCAAAGUGGGACAAACAAAAAUGUAACCCUGACACUGAAAAAGUAAAGAAAUAUGAUCAUUCUAUGAAGUUUCUUGGAGGAAAUAAGCACAUUUUUCUGGAGAUCAUUCAGUCUCUGGUUUUUCAAAUCGUUUUCUUGAUCUCUUUCAUAGACACACCUUACAGAUAGGGGAACGUCCUAGUACUUAUCUGUCCAAGUGUGAGAUUAAACUAUUUUAAAACCACAAAUUGAGCAGAAAGCCAAUAAAACUGCUUACUUGCCUUCA